CACGGCCAUACGCUCACAUCCAAAGUGCUCUUCAAAGAUGUCAUCAAGGCCAUCAAAGAAUAUGCUUUCAAAACCUCACAGUAUCCAGUGAUCCUGUCUUUGGAGAACCAUUGCUCCAUAGAGCAGCAGAAGAUCAUGGCCCAUCACUUAACCUCCAUCCUGGGCAGUGCUUUGCUCACUCAACCCCUGGGGCAUCAAAUGCCCAACACUUUUCCAGGACCUGAGGAGCUGAAGGGACGUUUCCUGAUCAAGGGCAAGCGUUUGAACAAACUGGAUGCG